UUAGGCUACCUCAGCCAUGUGGGACAGGACUCCUGGAGAGAGUCCAGUAAGAGUGUAGAGACAGGAUGUGUGCAAAUGGCGGCGGCACAGCGGGGUACCAAUGCGGAGCAGCCACUUCGUAGUUGACCUCUGAAUCUGUGUUUCCACUGUUCAAGACUGGCUGAAUAGAGAGAGGUGUGCUGUACAACAGGAGACUGUGCAGGGCUCUUGGUGAUGCCCAGGGUAGGAAGGAUGUUCCAACUACCAGGCAGGAAGGACCCUCUAACCGCUCAAGGUAGGAAGGACCUUCUAACUGCCCACGGUAGGAAGGACCUUCCAACACCAUGGGAAUCUCAUAGGUUUAGAGUGAAGUUAGGUCACUAGUCCAUGAGCAGUGGAAUGAGCCUGGCCUAGAAGGCUAGGGUCUGGUGAUAGGAUGGGCUUAGGCUUCGAGUGUUUGAUUGAGAGGAUAAAAGUAAGGCAAUAAAGAAGAGGGCAUAGUGUGGUACUUAAAGAGAACGACAUCAAAUAUAAAUACAAGUAUAAUGAAUAUUGUAUUUCCUAGUGGCAGUGAGGAAAGAAAGGAGAUUCAGUGGGCUUCAAGGGCUGUGCCUGAAAUGAACAGGCUAUGUUCUCUUCAUGAGGUUUGCAAAGGAGGCGAGAAGGGGAGGAGCAGGAGUAGCAGACCUGGCUUUACUCUUCUGACUUGAAAGAAGAGGAAAGAAGAAGAGAACGGUUGGCAGGUAGAA